CCUACGGGGGGCUGCAGUGGGGAAUAUUGGACAAUGGGGGGAACCCUGAUCCAGCCAUGCCGCGUGUGUGAAGAAGGCCCUCGGGUUGUAAAGCACUUUCAGUGAGGAAGAACGCCUGGUGGUUAAUACCCAUCAGGAAAGACAUCACUCACAGAAGAAGCACCGGCUAACUCCGUGCCAGCAGCCGCGGUAAUACGGAGGGUGCGAGCGUUAAUCGGAAUUACUGGGCGUAAAGCGCGCGUAGGUGGCUUGAUAAGCCGGUUGUGAAAGCCCCGGGCUCAACCUGGGAACGGCAUCCGGAACUGUCAAGCUAGAGUGCAGGAGAGGAAGGUAGAAUUCCCGGUGUAGCGGUGAAAGGCGUAGAGAUCGGGAGGAAUACCAGUGGCGAAGGCGGCCUUCUGGACUGACACUGACACUGAGGUGCGAAAGCGUGGGUAGCAAACAGGAUUAGAUACCCGAGUAGUC
rnacentral:rRNA from 1 species